rnacentral:lncRNA from 1 species
CUCAAAGAGUGGUUUACAGUACCGGGCAUAAAUGGAUUUUUCUGAGCUUACUACGUACUGAGACUCAGAAUGAUACCAUCACAAGGUUGACUAUUUAAGCCUCAUGACGUGUAACAGUCAGAAAAUAGGCUCCGUUCGGAUCAGAUAACUUGAAAUGAGUCGAUCCUUCGCUUCUAAGGCAUGAAGGGCUCGAUGAACUAAACGGCCAAAUGGAUUUCUGUACCGUGAUAUACGAUUGUCUCUUCUUAUCUAAUGAGCUCCAUUUCCCUUAACUACCUCCCCUAUGUCCGUCUGUUCCUAAUACAUACUUGCACGAAUAUCAAAUGCAUCCAUCCUACCUAUAUAGGUAGGCACAAGUUGCUUGUGCCGUAUGUUUCAGCUUUGCAAGGGAAUAUUCAAGAUUGAAGGGGGAUUUGCAGCGCAUAGAGGAUGUUCCUCGGAUAAAAUCCUUUUGUUUUGACUAACUUUUCAUGUCUAUGGGGAAAAAGGGGUUUGUUUUUCUUUUUCAUAACACCAAUGUGGUUGUAUACCUCAAUUCUCUUGAUAAGCCUGGUGCGAUAGAAUUAGCUACACAAUUGUCAAACAAUUCUAGAUAUCGUAUAGAAUUAGGAAUAU